CGCCGGAGCAGACGCGCUGAACGCUUCCAGAUGUGGCGGCGGCGCGCGGCGGGGACCGGAGCCCGAGUGGAGCGGCGGCGCCACGCGAGAAGCCCUGGCUGCGAGACGGCGGGGAGCGAGCCCGGGAACGGACACACCUCCAGGAGCCGGGCCUCGGCCUGCAGACCCCCACCCUCCCGAGGCCCCCCGCGGCUCCCUCGCGUCCCUUGGGGGGGCCACCGCCACGCCAGCAAGGCCUGGGAGGGGAAUCCCGGGAACACGGAAUACAAUGUGCCCAACUCCCGGCCUCUUUCACAUCGACCGAACGAAACAGCAAAAUGAGCCGUGAUUCUGUUGAUCAAUUACAAUCAGAGCGGUUGUAGAAGUGACACAUACAGGCGAGGAUGGGCAGAUGGGCGGGGAGAGAGAAAGAGCCCAAGAGGCGGAGCCUCGUGGGCAAGGCAGCGGUGGUGCCCAGAUGUCUGAACAGAUUAAUACAGCCAGGUUUGCUCCCUCCUUGGGGGCAGGCGAGCACGUGUGCUGCCAGUGUACCUUUACCUACUUAAUUAUUUCUGCCACCCUAGCGGGGAGCUAUGAAGCACUUCUCUCCGACACCCGCUGUCACAGUUAAUAUCCAAAGCACCUCCUGCAGGCACGACCCUCUAGAUGGGGCUGGUGAGCCCAUUCUGAGAGGGCCUACCACUGGGAAACCCGGUCUAGAUAGCAGCCCUUAGCCUGCCUCAUUCCCUGUCUCCAGGUUCCCUAACUGACCCUAUCGUCUAUCUACGUGGCUUUAAGUAAGGGGCUCUGUCAGCUGCAAAUCUUCAAUCCAGACCUUUCUUCUGACCCAGACGCCAGUCAACUUGCCCUCUCCACUUGAAACCGAAACCUCAUGUAUCCAGGCCUGCUCGUCACACAGCCUUCCCCCCAACUCGGCUGACCCCUCUAGCUGCUCAUGUAAGAACCCUGGAGUCAUCUCGUCUUGAUUUCUCCCGCAGCCCCACAUCAGUGUAUCAUGGGAUUCACCUUAGACAGAAUGCAGCGUAACCUCCCUCACUUCUGCUGCCGCCUUCCAGGGCUGAGCCAGUAGUACCUGUUCUCUGGUCACCCUCCUCUCCUCAAGUACGUUCUCCUCGCAGCAAUUGGAACAACCCACUUAAAAUGGUGCUCUUCUAACCCAGACCAUCCAAUGACCUCUUUUGUCACUUCAGUGAAAGUCACAAUAACCUACAAGGACUGCAGGAACGGCUGUAUAUGACUUCCAUCGCCGGUUCCUACUGUGUGCCCUCGCUGCUCCUCCAAGCAUGCCAGAAAUGAUCCGCUCGUCCCGCACACACAAACCUCUUGUCUUCUGCUCUACUUGUCCCAACUUCCUGCAGUGUUCCUUCCCUAGACAUCUUCUGUAGAAGAUGCUUUCCCUCCUUGGAGACCUUGCUCGGAGUUCACCUCAGUGACCCCCAUCUUGAUCUUACCCCAAAUGGCGGAAACUAAAACCCAUGUUCCAUGGCCAGGGGCACCCAACUGGGACUUAGUCCAGGAGAAUCUGACACCAAAUGCAUGUUUCUUGUAUUAUCCUGCUCUCUGCUGAGAGGAUGGCCAAGGGUGACAUGGCAGGCGGUAGAGUUUCGAGAACUGACUGCAAAAUGUGCUUCACAAAAUACCAUGGAGCUGAGAACGAAGCACUUGGGUGUUGGGGGUCACAGGUUCGACAGCCUGACUUUUCCGUAAGUAGGCGGUGUAGAAACCUAACAGGCAAACAUUCCCUCCACACUGCUUCACUUUCGUUUUUCACUUCACCUCUCUUUUCAGCUGUUAAUGUGUUCUUUCCUUUCCAGAAAAAGUCACUUCCUAAAUAUUUGGUCUUCAAAGUACGCCCAUAUCCCACUUUCUAACUUUGGAACCCGGUCCUGGAUGUUCUUCUGCAAGGUAACAAAUUCUCCACCCACCAGGGACCAUUUAGAAUUGUGAUGUGGGGUGUGGGAGGUGCGGGAGCAGAAGGAGCAGCAUGCCUCUCUCUCCCUCACAGCUUUGACCCUAGCUACAAAUGUUCUCUCUUCUCCUGCUCCCCACGUCUUUCCCUGUGCGGGGCCUGCCACACAGCAGUGGACCUGUGCACAUGCCACCCCAUUCCCCCACACACAUGUGCGCGUACACACACACACACACACACACACACACACACACACACACACCCCACUUCCUACAUCUUAAGAGAGUGAACUGUGCUCUCUCCUCUACACAGUGCUUUGUACAUAUGGACACUCAGUGUCUACUAUGUAUAGCUUACUCUGGACAAGAUUCUACUCUUUGGAAACAAGAUUCUAUUCCUUUGGAAACAAGAGUGCAGUGAAUAAGUUAAUUGCAGUGUAUUUAUGUAACUGAGAAAACCCGAAAAUAAUCUAAAUAACAAAAUGCCGGUUAAAUAAAAACAUUUCAGAAUUA